GACGAACGCUGGCGGCGUGCUUAACACAUGCAAGUCGAACGCUGAAGCUCAGCUUUUGUUGGGUGGAUGAGUGGCGAACGGGUGAGUAACACGUGAGUAACCUGCCCCCUUCUUUGGGAUAACGCCCGGAAACGGGUGCUAAUACUGGAUAUUCACUGGUCUUCGCAUGGGGGUUGGUGGAAAGGGUUUUUCUGGUGGGGGAUGGGGUCGCGGCCUAUCAGCUUGUUGGUGGGGUGUUGGCCUACCAAGGCUUUGACGGGUAGCCGGCCUGAGAGGGUGACCGGUCACAUUGGGACUGAGAUACGGCCCAGACUCCUACGGGAGGCAGCAGUGGGGAAUAUUGCACAAUGGGCGCAAGCCUGAUGCAGCGACGCCGCGUGAGGGAUGGAGGCCUUCGGGUUGUGAACCUCUUUCGCCCAUGGUCAAGCCGCAACAAUGGUUGUGGUGAGGGUAGUGGGUAAAGAAGCGCCGGCUAACUACGUG
rnacentral:rRNA from 1 species